CCUCUGUGGCCAUUUGUUGAACUUGAGAGUGUGCUACCCCUGGUGACACGUGACUUCGAAAAUCAUUCAAGGUAACAUCACUUAUUUGUUUUAUCUAUUUCUUCAAUAAACGAAUUAAAGUUUAGAGAAAUAAUGCAUACAAACCUAAUGUCUGCGCGUUCUCUUUUUUUUUUUUUUUUCUCUCUGGUACUGUAGCAAGAGAGAUGUACUAUUGGAUGUACUUCCGUUUCGUGUGCUUGUUCCCACGUCGAGCAGCCGCGCGCGCAGAGAACGAAACUAUGUUAUUUACCUACCGUGUCCUGCGCGCGAUCAUGCUCUUUCAUCCGCUUGUGCCUAUCGCAGUUUUCAUGUGGCACUCGCUUAUCAUACCGCUAGUUAGGGGCAUCGUGCCUGACUACGGUUCCAACGGUACAAUGGCGCGGUGUAUCACGGUGAGGAUCCAUGAGCCGGACCAGCCUCUGCAAACGUGCGCGCCCUGAGGAAUCCAUUUCGCAGAAGCAGCCAGACAACAACGCAGGUGUUCUCGUGCACAGUUCGCAAGUUCGUGUAGAGAGCGAAAUGAAACAAACCCAACAGCGCGCGAGCUCGCGCGCGACACCGUCACCGGAAGUGCGCCUCGCAACAAAAAUGGAAGAAAAAAAUGAAAAAGAAUAAGGCUGAGACCAUGACGUGUACGUGGCGCGAUCCUCCGGCUCCGGUAUGGGAGGACACAGGGAAGGAAUUUUGCUUGCGGAAACUAGACGGAGCAAGUGGCGAGUGUGUUGAUGUUGGCAGUGCAGCUCGCCUCCUGAAACCAUGGAUCAGGCAAUUAACUGCGGCAAGCAUUCACUCAACGAUGUAGAGUCCAAAAUGCGAUCCUUCUGCAAAAGUUGAGCAAGAACAGUGCAGCGGGUGCAUUGCAACACUAGCAGAGAUGCUUGAAUCCAGUUCACCUAAUGUGACAGUAUCCUGGAAAGAAAACUAAAGGCAGCAACAUCAAGCAGUAAGGUCCCAUGUAUGCUGUCAAUACACCAAAAAGCCCUCAUUACUGCCACUGCAGGACACCAUGGAACCGACAAGCCCUAACACUACCAAAAAUUGUAUUUGCAGGCUUUACCAUUUUUGCUGACUGGCAACAAGUAACAGCCUUUGUUAAUACUGGUGCUGAUUUCCCUACAGUAGGUCAUGACCUUGCUGCCCACCUUGAAACAAUAAAGAUACUAUCGACAGGGCCCCAAAUACUGACAGCGUGCGAGCACUUAUUAUGUGUGCCAAAAGUUAUAUGGUGAAAAUCAACAUGUAGAUUCUUCGUUUACCACCAUUUUCAUCAUUUUCCUCACAUACUGCAAAAAAACUGAUAAUAAAAAUGAACGUGAGGAAAUAAGGUGGGUGGUGAAUAUCCCAACUGAUGAGUCCAUUGCUUUGAACCUCAGUCCAAGCCGUUAAUAUCUCACGAUGUGGCCACCUGCCUUUAAUUUUCAAUGCAAGUGGCUGUACCACCUAGUUGAUCCCUCAUCAAUGAUGAGCUCCCACCAAAACACACUUUUUUAACCUGUUGGUCACAUAUGGAACGUCUUUAUGCAACAUAUGGACUUCCCUAGGAUUCUUACAUCUGAGAUAUCAAGAUGCUGUUGAUGCAGCAGUGUGAAGUAGUUUUGUCAAAGACGUCAUAUCACAUUUGGCUUGCUGCUAGUAAAACCACACAGACAUUGCAACCUAAGAUCGUGCAUAUUUUUUUUUCUUUAGCUUACUGUUGCCAAGGGUGCCCUGUUAGAUACGGGACCUUUUCCUGAGCCUUCUUCGAGUUCACCGGACCACUUCAAAUCACCAUAACACCUAAUUAAGGAGCGCAGAAGCACAUCUACUACGUUCCCGAGGCGCAGCAUGUCCAAACAAGUUGGCGUCCCCCACCUCGUGUGCCUUUAUGUGGAGCUAUUGUCCCACUACUUGACUCAUCCUGAAAAUGAAAUGGGAGCCUGGCACGGUUCCAAGUAACCUGGGUCCCGAGCAAAGAUGCUUUGCGGCUCUGAAAGGUUGUUCAAGAACAAACCACCUCCCACCGCUGAGCGCUUGGAAACCUGGAGGCAACGACGGCUGUAAGUCACCAUGAAGCCCUUGGAACCCCGAUCCGCCUAUUGUGACGGCACUUACAAGCCACGAGGCAACGACGGCUGUAAUGCACCGUGAAGCCCUGGGAGCAGCCCCCCCCCCCAUCCGCCUUUGUGACAGCAGUUGCAGACCAGGAAGGCAAUACCGGAGACAAGUAAUGCCUCGGACAAGUGGAGCCAAUGGAGUGACCCUCUUGAGCCGAAUGUGACUACACUCCCACGGGUGCCUACCAUUGGCCGAAAAUGACGACACCCGAGCGGGCUCGAUGAUUGGCUGAACAGGUUGUGACCUUGAGACACCGAAGGGGUUAAAAGCCAGAGACCGGGAGCAGCAAGGGAGCAUUCAUUCAUUCAUCUCUUUCGGGCUUCUUGCCACGGGCCGCAGCGUCCGAGUUGCUGCCGCCCAGCAAUGACUUUAUGACUGUUAAUUUCUUUGUAUCUUUACUGUAAAUAAUGUAAAUAAACCUCCAGUUUUCAUCUCAA